UACGUAUGGAGCAAGCGUUAUCCGGAUUUACUGGGUGUAAAGGGUGCGUAGGUGGCAGUGCAAGUCAGAUGUGAAAGGCCGGGGCUCAACCCCGGAGCUGCAUUUGAAACUGCAUAGCUAGAGUACAGGAGAGGCAGGCGGAAUUCCUAGUGUAGCGGUGAAAUGCGUAGAUAUUAGGAGGAACACCAGUGGCGAAGGCGGCCUGCUGGACUAUUACUGACACUGAGGCACGAAAGCGUGGGGAGCAAACAGG
rnacentral:rRNA from 1 species